AAAUGGAAUUAUUUGGGAUGGAAUCAUUGGGAUAUGUUUGAAAGUACCGUUUGUAGACCGCCUUUGCCAGUUCUGCCUCUUGAAAAUGUAUGCAAGACCGUUUUGAGCCCCACACGUACUAAAACCCUGCCAUCAUGGCUGGAUCAAAUAGAGCUGUCCAAAUGGUGAGAGGCUGCAGAGUAUUUUCAGAUCUAUGGAUGAGGACUUGUUGGGAAUGCUGUGGGAGGGAUGGUUAGAUGUAGGCUGGAGAUGCCCUAAAGAGCAUCCCACCUCUGAGAUCCUGCAGCCUCAAAAAAACAUUUCAUAGUUUCAUUCUAGUAAAAGGCAGUAAGUGACAAAGAGCAAAUUCAUACAUUAGUGUUUAAUUUAUACUACAUAAAACUUGUUUCUUAUUAAAUGUAUCAAAUGUAA